rnacentral:lncRNA from 1 species
GUUCUACUGACUGAAGUGAUCCUAUCUUGUGACUCAUGCAUGGCACGUCUAUAAGUCAAGCUGGAAUCCUCUAAAAUAAGUCACAUGGGAAAAAAUUCUGAUCUUAUUCUAGACGAAGAAUGAAAAGCCAGGAAGCUACAUAACCCAAGGGUUUUCGUAUGUCUGACACGGAUGGAUCCACUAGACCCACCAACUGGUGGUUUCACUGCUCCUAUAACUUCACCCGGAAGCAACUCAGCACAAAAGGACAGCUUAGACCCCUUAUCAUUUCAUUUCCACUCCAACCAGUCAGCAGCAAGCACCCAUUUCCUAGCCACCCCACCAUUACCUCCAAACUGCCUUUGAAAAGCCUCUACCCUACAAGCCUUCAAUGAGAUUGAUUUAACUGUCUCCCGCAUGGCAUGGCUAGCCUCAUAUCAAUUAAACUCUUUAUUUACUGCAGUGCUGUGGUUUUUAUUUGUGCAGUGGGCAGGAAUAAUCUGUCAGGAGGUUACAUACAUAUAUAUAUUUUAAAUUGGUAUCAUAAAUGUAAACAAAUUUUUUUUUUUUUUUUUUGAGACUGAGUCUUGUUCUGCCACCCAGGCUGGAGUGCGGUGGUGCAAUCUGGGUUCA